AUUGUUUUAGGUUAAUAAAACUCUAGACCUUCAAAGUCUGUAAUAAAAAUUAAAUUUUUUAAACUUUA
rnacentral:tRNA from 1 species